UCUCACAUUGUACAUCUAAACCUCUGUUCUUUAGCAGUCACAUUCACCGUCCACAUAAUCCAUACCAAAACAUAAGCACAACCUUUCUACUUACACUUGGCUGAUAGAAACUCUCUGUUGUCCCUGCCACUCUCCAUUUCUCACUCUUUCUGAGAAAACAACAGGAAGUGUAAUAGGAAGUGAAGUUGCUUUGUAUUCUGUGCGUGUGUCUUGUGCUGCUGUCGUCUGCGUCUAUGAAUCAUGUCGUGAGGACUUCUUAGACACUGCCAAAGGCUACUCUCGUGGACAGAGACGGGGUAUGAAUGCGUUACUUCAAAUCUCAAGAAGGAAGGAGACACCACGAGCCACAAAGUCAUGCCUGUGUCAGUGUGAACUGUGACACAGUGUGAGUGUGCUUUUAAUCUUACAGUACAACUAUGUCAAGAACGGCCCUGAUUAAACUUCUCUUCGUUGGGAUCCUCACCUUCAUCAUCUGCCUACCAGAGUUCUUCACAAUAUACAGAGUAUCAAAAGUGAACUUCUUCUGCCUUCCCUAUCCACCUUGUGAACAAGGAAAUACAGUGAAGAAGGGUGAAAAUAGGAAGACUGAUGAUUCUGCAGUCACAAGAAAGGACAUGUGUGACUUUCCUCAGCAGAAUCAAAGCAACAUGACAAACUCGGCACCAGACGGAGAUAGUUCAACGAUGAGCUUGUUCAUGUGUGAAGCCAACACAAACAUGGCAGAAUUAGACAACAACACCUCAUUUACAGAUCUGACGUUCAGUCUUGAGGUGUCAGUCGAGGUUCAACUCACUGAUGCAGAGACCCUCAAUCUCACCUUGUAUGGUCGCAGCAAUCACAGCUCCUUACACCUCCACUCACCUGAGGAGGAGGAGGAGGAGGAGGAGGAGAAAGAGAAAGAGAAGGGUGAAGGACAGAGGAAAGCAUUCUACUGCUGUCUCCCUCGCAUGCCUGCCUCUGAACCAGCCAAUCAAAGCCGCUGUCUCCUUUGGCUCGCCAAUCUAACAGUUUUGACUGCAGCAGCGAAGGAAGAGCUGCCAUGGAAACGGACACAGAAAGAUGAGUGGCAGUGUGGGAUGAGGAUUCUCUGGCUGGCUCUGGUGUGCUCGGUGUUGCUGAUGAUAGUUACAAUUGUGAUCACUGAAAUCUGCAGAGGGAAAUACUUGUGCAGAAAACCCAAGGUGUGCCCGGUUAGCUACAACUUUACUGGUCACCAUUUGAAUGUUGGACAGAAGCCAACAGAAGUCAGUGCUCCCAACGGAACAACCCUCCUCUCAUAUCGGCUGCAGCCUUGGUCAGGUCUCCCACCUAUUCAAGAAAUUGAAGAUGACAUAAAUACUCUGCUGGAUGGAAAUAUUGACCACUGCUAUACAGAAAAUCUACAUCAUCGCUGCCCUUCCUCCACUAGAGAGGAGCAGGCCUGGUAACAGAGGAGCAGCAGAAGGAGCACAGAUAGACCACUGCAGAGAAAUAUCUGAGCCUUUUAACAACAGUUUACAUGUUUAUUUCCAAUGUUUAAUCUUCACACAGUCUAAGGGCACUUUAUUAGAAAUGAGUCUUUAUACAUUUGUAAACUGUCCACUGUUAAAUAAAUGGAUCAGCCUCCAAACA
rnacentral:lncRNA from 1 species